UUAUUUCUUAACCUAUUCUUCCUCGAUUUUCUGUGACUGGCCGUCCGGUCGCCACCAUAGAUAGCGUUCGGGUAAUUCGAUCUCGUUGACGCAACCUCGAUUCUUUGGCACGGGCCAUACGGCCAUCACCACAGAUAUAGUUCGGUUGUUCUUUCUACUGGCGGCGUACCGUCGACUAGGUUGGCAAGAGUGGCGUUUUCCCUCUAAUUUUUUGUGCCCGUUUAGCCUUUUAAUAAAACUGGUUGUCUGAAUCGUCCGGCAUUUUGUACGCUAGCUUUUGAAGCUUGGGGUUGUGGCAGGUUUUCUUUUGUGUGACCGAUUUCUUUUUGAGCCGGUAGUGCUACCCCAAUAAGAGGGGGAUAUGUGAAUUGGUCACUAAUUUAUGAUUUCCCAUACUUUUGGAUCUAUUUGGAGUUUGGAAUGGGAAUCUUCCUCAACGAGGGAUUUUGAAAAGAAUUGUCAUUGCCCCAUAUUUCCAGAAAACCCUCGAAUCGAGUAUUGUACGUAUUGUUGCUCCGUUUCCCGCAAACCUUCCACGUGGUUUCUUCUUUCACCGGAAUACCAGACCAGACUUGGUGUCUUGCAGUGUAUGCUGUCUCUUGGGUACAUGUUUAGUUGUGGAGUUUCCCCUAUCGAGCAGCCGGCUUUCCGGACGGACUUUGCUGGGUUAACUGAGACUGCCCACCUGCGGCUGUCUCAUUGAGCCACCAUUCCAUCUUGGCUUGGUUCCCGGGAUAGUGACAGACAGCUGUGUAACGUUCGGGACAUCUUGAGGUUUGGGUAGCUUAAGUGGCCUGUUCUCUUCAAGAACGGUUUGCGGAACUUAUAGCCUUAAAUUAUAGUGUCUUACAUUCUUUUGCACCGCCAAAACUUGAAGGUGAGAUUUGACACUCACACCUACCACCAGGUUGAAGGAAAUAAAUUAUUGUUCGUGAU